CAAGAGAUAGUUUAAUAAAAAUACUAGUUUUGGGAGUUAGUGAUAGGAGUUGAAGUCUUCUUCUUUUGA
rnacentral:tRNA from 1 species